CCUACGGGAGGCAGCAGUGAGGAAUAUUGGUCAAUGGGCGAGAGUCUGAACCAGCCAAGUAGCGUGAAGGAUGACUGCCCUAUGGGUUGUAAACGUCUUUUAUAUGGGAAUAAAAUGUUCCACGUUUGGGAUUUUGUAUGUACCAUAUGAAUAAGGAUCGGCUAACUCCGUGCCAGCAGCCGCGGUAAUACGGAGGAUCCGAGCGUUAUCCGUAUUUAUUGGGUUUAAAGGGAGCGUAGGUGGAUUGUUAAGUCAGUUGUGAAAGUUUGCGUCUCAACCGUAAAAUUGCAGUUGAAACUGGCAGUCUUGAGGACAGUAGAGGUGGGGGGAAUUCGUGGUGUAGCGGUGAAAUGCUUAGAUAUCACGAAGAACUCCGAUUGCGAAGGCAGUUCACUGGACUGCAACUGACACUGAGGCUCGAAAGUGUGGGUAUCAAACAGGAUUAGAUACCCGAGUAGUC
rnacentral:rRNA from 1 species